UACGAAGGGGGCUAGCGUUGUUCGGAAUUACUGGGCGUAAAGCGCGCGCAGGCGGCCUUCCAAGUCAGUGGUGAAAGCCUGGAGCUCAACUCCAGAACUGCCAUUGAAACUGUUAGACUUGAGUACGAGAGAGGUGAGUGGAAUUCCCAGUGUAGAGGUGAAAUUCGUAGAUAUUGGGAAGAACACCGGUGGCGAAGGCGGCUCACUGGCUCGUAACUGACGCUCAGGCGCGACAGCGUGGGGAUCAAACAGG
rnacentral:rRNA from 1 species